GAUGCCCAGCUUGCUGGGCGGAUUAGUGGCGAACGGGUGAGUAACACGUGGGUGAUCUGCCCUGCACUUCGGGAUAAGCCUGGGAAACUGGGUCUAAUACCGGAUAUGACCACAGGAUGCAUGUUUUGUGGUGGAAAGGUUUACUGGUGCAGGAUGAGCCCGCGGCCUAUCAGCUUGUUGGUGGGGUAAUGGCCUACCAAGGCGACGACGGGUAGCCGGCCUGAGAGGGCGACCGGCCACACUGGGACUGAGACACGGCCCAGACUCCUACGGGAGGCAGCAGUGGGGAAUAUUGCACAAUGGGCGAAAGCCUGAUGCAGCGACGCCGCGUGAGGGAUGACGGCCUUCGGGUUGUAAACCUCUUUCAGCAGGGACGAAGCGCAAGUGACUGUACCUGCAGAAGAAGCACCGGCUAACUACGUGCCAGCAGCCGCGGUAAUACGUAGGGUGCGAGCGUUGUCCGGAAUUACUGGGCGUAAAGAGUUCGUAGGCGGUUUGUCGCGUCGUGUGUGAAAUCCCGCAGCUCAACUGCGGGCUUGCAGGCGAUACGGGCAGACUUGAGUACUGCAGGGGAGACUGGAAUUCCUGGUGUAGCGGUGAAAUGCGCAGAUAUCAGGAGGAACACCGGUGGCGAAGGCGGGUCUCUGGGCAGUAACUGACGCUGAGGAACGAAAGCGUGGGUAGCGAACAGGAUUAGAUACCCUGGUAGUCCACGCCGUAAACGGUGGGCGCUAGGUGUGGGUUUCCUUCCACGGGAUCCGUGCCGUAGCUAACGCAUUAAGCGCCCCGCCUGG
rnacentral:rRNA from 1 species